rnacentral:rRNA from 1 species
UACGUAGGGUGCAAGCGUUGUCCGGAAUUAUUGGGCGUAAAGAGCGUGUAGGCGGCCAUUCAGGUCAGCUGUGAAAACUCGAGGCUCAACCUCGAGACGUCGGUUGAAACCGUUUGGCUAGAGUCCGGAAGAGGAGAGUGGAAUUCCCGGUGUAGCGGUGAAAUGCGCAGAUAUCGGGAAGAACACCCGUGGCGAAGGCGGCUCUCUGGGACGGUACUGACGCUGAGGCGCGACAGCGUGGGGAGCAAACAGG